AGUGAACGCUGGCGGUAGGCCUAACACAUGCAAGUCGAACGGCAGCACAGUAAGAGCUUGCUCUUACGGGUGGCGAGUGGCGGAUGUGUGAGGAAUACAUCGGAAUCUACUUUUUCGUGGGGGAUAACGUAGGUAAACUUACGCUAAUACCGCAUACUACCUACGAGUGAAAUCAGGGGAUCUUCGGACCUUGCGCGAUUGAAUGAGCCGAUGUCGGAUUAGCUAGUUGGCGGGGUAAAGAACCACCAAGGCGACGAUCCGUAGCUGGUCUGAGAGGAUGAUCAGCCACACUGGAACUGAGACACGGUCCAGACUCCUACGGGAGGCAGCAGUGGGGAAUAUUGGACAAUGGGCGCAAGCCUGAUCCAGCAAUACCGCGUGGGUGAAGAAGGCCUUCGGGUUGUAAAGCCCUUUUGUUGGGAAAGAAAAGCAGCAGGUUAAUACCCCGCUGUUCUGACGGUACCCAAAGAAUAAGCACCGGCUAACUUCGUG
rnacentral:rRNA from 1 species